UACGUAGGGUGCGAGCGUUGUCCGGAAUUAUUGGGCGUAAAGAGCUCGUAGGCGGUGUGUCGCGUCGGCCGUGAAAACCUGGGGCUCAACUCUGGGCGUGCGGUCGAUACGGGCAUCACUAGAGUUCGGCAGGGGAGACUGGAAUUCCUGGUGUAGCGGUGAAAUGCGCAGAUAUCAGGAGGAACACCGGUGGCGAAGGCGGGUCUCUGGGCCGUGACUGACGCUGAGACGCGAAAGCGUGGGGAGCAAACAGG
rnacentral:rRNA from 1 species